CCUACGGGAGGCAGCAGUAAGGAAUAUUGGACAAUGGGCGAAAGCCUGAUCCAGCCAUUCCGCGUGUAGGAUGACGGCCCUCUGGGUUGUAAACUACUUUUAUUUGGGAAGAAACCCUGGGAUUUAUCCCGGGCUGACGGUACCAAAAGAAUAAGCACCGGCUAAUUCCGUGCCAGCAGCCGCGGUAAUACGGAAGGUGCAAGCGUUAUCCGGAAUCACUGGGUUUAAAGGGUGCGUAGGCGGUUGCGUAAGUCAGAAGUGAAAGCUCACAGCUUAACUGUGGAAUUGCUUUUGAUACUGCGCGACUAGAAUUAGGUUGAGGUUGGCGGAAUGUGACAUGUAGCGGUGAAAUGCAUAGAUAUGUCAUAGAACACCAAUUGCGAAGGCAGCUGACUGGACCUAUAUUGACGCUGAGGCACGAAAGCGUGGGAGCGAACAGGAUUAGAUACCCUGGUAGUCCACGCCCUAAACGAUGCUUACUCGAUGUGUGAAAUAUUGCGCAUCCAAGGGAAACCGUUAAGUAAGCCACCUGGGGAGUACGUUCGCAAGAAUGAAACUCAAAGGAAUUGACGG
rnacentral:rRNA from 1 species